rnacentral:misc_RNA from 1 species
CGCACAUUGCACCUUUUGGUAUUCCGAAAGGUAUGUCUGUUUGAGCGUCAUUUCAACCCCUUCAACUCCAGUAGUUGGUUUUGAGCUCGGGAUGCCCGUUGGGCUACCGGCUUUAAAGUUGAACGCUCUGCGGGCGACUCAGCCGAACCGAACAUAGUAAUAGCUUCUAUGCCUUGUUUCGUUCAGCUUUGGGCCGUUCCGCCUGAACAACAAACACUUUUUUUUAGGUUUGACCUCAGAUCAGACAAGGAUACCCGCUGAACUUAA